rnacentral:misc_RNA from 1 species
UAGAGUGCGCGAGUGUUGUGCUGUCGACGCGCACCCCUCUCACAUGGAUUCCCACAUCCUUCUCAUCAUUACAACCUCAGGGAUCGUUCUGUCACUGGCGGACGGGGACUUUCACCACUUGCGGGGACCCAGCUUCCUGAUGGAACCUCCCUCCAAACUGGAAUUCAGCAACUCCAGCGGGGGUUGGUUGGACUGUUCAGCGUCCGGCAGUCCACCGCCGGCCCUGGACUGGUUGUCCGUGGAUGGGAACUCAGUGGGUGACGUGCCUGGUGUCCGCCGGGUUCUCCGUAAUGGAACCCUUGUCCUUCUACCGUUCUCGGCAGAGGCGUAUCGUCAGGAUAUCCACAACACUGUAUAUCGCUGCGUCGCGCAGAACGCCGUCGGAAGGAUCCUCAGCCGUGACGUACAAGUCAGAGCGGUGGUAACACAAGCUUACAAGGUGGCCGUGGAGGUCCUAGGGGCUGCUAGAGGAUGCACCGCUAUACUACAGUGCGUAGUAGACCGGUCUGUCAGGGACAUGGUCAAAGUUGUUUCCUGGGUACAGGAACCUAGCUUCUUCAUAUAUCCUUCCCUACAAGGAGACGGGAAGUUCCAUGUCUUGCCUUCAGGCGAGCUCCUGGUGCACAACGUGGAGUUUAGCGACCAAUUUCCCUCCUACAGAUGUCGCACUAGACACAGGCUGACCCGCCAGGUCGAGGUCAGCUCCCCUGCAAACGUCAGAAUACAAGAGCACAGAGGUAUCGUGUCUCCGGCGAUGGUGGAACACUCCCCCACAGUCCAAGUGUCACACGACGAGGGUGCCGUGUUGUUGUGUCUCGCCCAAGGCUGCCCCACCCCUGAUUACAGGUGGUACCACCUCCAGCCGGGCUACGAAGCGGUUUCAGUAGUACCAGGACCACGAGCGAGGGUCCUAGGCCCUGUUCUUGCCAUAGAGGCUGUUACCGAGGAGGACGCAGGUCUGUACCGGUGCUCGGCCAGUAACGCGGGGGGAGAGGCCAGCGCGGAGCUCAGACUUGUCGUCACCAACACACUCCAUGUCGAGGUAUCACCAACUGUACUUUCCGUGCAUUUGGGGGGCUCUGGAGAGUUCCGGUGCAUAGUAUCUCCCCCAGGCACCUACCUGACCACAUGGUUCAAGGAUGGCCGAGUAUUACCGGGCAUGAGCAGUGGGGAUACUCUGGUGCUGAACGGCAUCAACAGGGAGGACCAGGGCAUGUACCAAUGUCUGGUACGGAGGGCUGAGGGGGAGACAGCUCAGGGGGCGGCGGAGCUACAGCUUGGUGACGCAUCCCCUGCUCUGUCGUACACCUUCAUAGAACAGACGCUUCAGCCAGGACCUGCUGUUUCGCUCAAAUGCAGUGCACAGGGAAACCCCACACCCCAAAUUACGUGGGCCUUGGAUGGCUUUUCUCUUCCCAAUAAUGUUAGGUUUAUGAUCGGUCAGUAUCUGACGAUCCAUGGGGACGUUAUCAGCCAUGUGAACAUCUCCAAUGUGGCAGUGGAGGACGGGGGAGAGUAUUCGUGUACGGCGGAGAACCGAGCAGGCAAGGCUACACAUUCGGCCAGGCUCAAUGUGUACGGUUUGCCUUACAUUCGGCUGAUCCCCAAAGUCACAGCGGUUGCCGGGGAGACCUUCCAACUAAAGUGUCCGGUGGCUGGAUAUCCGAUAGAGGAAAUACACUGGGAAAGAAGCGGACGUGAGCUGCCAGAUGAUCUGCGGCAGAAAGUGAUCGGCGGGACUCUGAUGAUAAGCCCGGUUCAGAAGUCGGCAGACGCGGGAGUCUACACUUGCUGGGCACGCAAUAAACAGGGCCAAAGUGCGAGGCGUAGUGGAGAGGUUGCUGUAAUAGUUCCUCCUGUAAUUGAACCCUUUUCGUUCCCCGGGGAGGGGCUCCCCGAGGGAACUCGCACCCGCAUGGUGUGUGGGGUGAGCCGGGGAGAUCCGCCCUUGCACAUCCACUGGCUCAAAGACGGGUCGAAGCUGCCCGCGCAUCUGGCAGUUAACGUCUCAACCCUUGACCCCUAUUCUAGUCUCCUCAGCAUUUCUAGUCUGACCGAAGGCCACUCUGGGGAGUACACUUGUGUAGCCUCCAACCCUGCUGCCAGAGUUAGGUACACGAGCAAGCUUCAAGUAAAAGUGCCGCCCCGCUGGGUGGUGGAACCUGGUGACGUCAGCGUGGAGAGGAACCGUCACGUGACCAUCAACUGUCAAGCGCAGGGAGUGCCACAGCCAGUCGUCACAUGGAAGAAGGCUACUGGAAGCAAAUCCGGAGAGUAUGAGGAAAUCAGAGAACGGGUGUACACAAGACUCCUAGGUAACGGAUCCCUGUUACUUCAGAAUGUUAAAGAAGAUCGUGAAGGCUUCUACCUCUGCCAAGCUACUAACGGCAUCGGAAACGGCAUCGGGAAAGUGGUGCAGCUCAAGGUUAACUCAUCUCCUUACUUCUCGGCCCCGUCUCGAGUGGUUACCGUCAAGAAAGGAGACACUGCCACUCUGGUGUGUAACGUCAAUGGGGACACUCCCAUCAAUGUUCGGUGGAUGAGGGGAGGAAAAAUACAGCUGACACCAGCCUCUAACUACAGGUUGACAAUGAAACAGGACAUUACACCAGACGGGGUGACGGCUGAGCUACAGAUCUCCUCCACUGAGUCAGCAGACACGGGGGCUUACUUCUGUCAGGCCAGCAACCUCUUCGGCAAGGACCAGCAGCUUGUUCAGCUCCUUGUACAAGAGCCUCCUGAGAGUCCUUCAGACCUUAAGACGGUUAUGGUGAGUAGCCGCACAGCCAACAUCCAGUGGCACCACCAGUCCGGGGAGGUCACCAGGUUCAUAGUACAGUACAAGGAAGGGGAUGGUGUGUGGCAACAGCUGGAGUUGAGCGGCCAGCUGAGAGGUGCUCUCCUGGAGAACCUAAAGCCUGCGACACGUUACUCGGUGCAUGUCCAGGCCGAGGGCCCCGCGGGGCGCAGCAAGCCCAGCCAAGAUCUGCAGUUCAAGACGGAGCCCCAGCGCCCCGCAGGUCCACCACUCAAUGUGGCCGUCAGGGCCGUAUCUUCCACCCAGCUCCUGGUCACGUGGGCGCCUCCCCUACCUGAACUCCGACACGGUGACAUACAAGGCUACUAUGUGGGCUACAGGGAGAUUAACUCUCCUAAUGGUAACUACAACAUGACGGCGGUGAGUGGGGUGAGCGACGAGGGUGGCGGAGAGCUGAUACUCUCGGGACUGCUAAAGUUCACCCGCUACUCUCUGGUAGUGCAGGCCUUUAACCAGGUGGGCCAGGGGCCGCAGUCGGAGCCUGUGUCCGCUCAGACAAUGGAGGACGUUCCCAGUGCUGCGCCCGAAGAUGUGCGAUGUGCGGCUCUAAGCUCCCAGUCCGUCCAGGUCAGCUGGCAUCCCCCGCCCCACAUUCACAGCAACGGUAUAAUCCAGGGAUACCGACUCUUUUAUGACACCCAUGACCAAGUUCUGGAUUUGGGGAUGGACUCACGCAAGACGACCGCAAUGACGAUCGUGUUGACAGGAUUGAUGAAAUUUACUAACUACAGUGUGCAAGUCUUAGCCUUCACUCGUGUAGGGGAUGGCGUCCCUUCCCGCCCUAUAUUCUGCCAGACCGAGGAAGAUGCUCCCGGCUCUCCCGCUGACAUCAAGGUGGCUGUGAGCUCGUCUAACUCUCUCGUAGUUUCCUGGCUACCUCCUAACGAUCCCAACGGACUCAUCACGAAAUAUAAUCUGUAUACAAGAGUGGUGGACGGAAGAGAAGAGUUAAACCAUGGGAAGAGAAAUCUGCCCAGCCAGCAUAUGAGUUACGAGGCUAAGGGGUUGCAGCCCCACGUCGAGUAUCAGUUCUGGGUAACAGCCUCUACCAGGGUUGGUGAGGGCCAAAGCUCCAGAGUGGUUGCCCAGGUCCCGACAAGCAGAGUUCCCGCGAAGAUAACAUCUUUUGGCGGUCUGGUACUGCGGCCGUGGCGGAGUUCCGUGUCUCUGCCAUGUCACGUGGUGGGGGCGCCUCAGCCUCGCCGGGAGUGGCUCAGAGACGACCGCCCGCUACAGAUUUCCACCGGCCACAACAUCCAGCUCAUGGAGUCUGGUGAAGUAGUCAUUUCCGGUCUCCAGCGGGCAGACAGCGACAACUACACGUGUCACGCUGAAAACAACAUCGGCUCCGACAGCAUAUACUACACGUUGGUUGUGCAAGUGCCUCCAAGUGCUCCAGUCCUCUACGUUACCAGCGCAACAAGCUCCAGUAUCCUACUCCACUGGAAGGCUGGAGACAACGGAAAUGCAGCGAUCACUGCCUACACGCUCAACUAUCGUCGCGCUCAUGCGGACCUAGAGGAGUUGACUUUGUCUCGACGCACAACCAGCUACGAACUUAAGGGUCUAAUGUGUGGUAGUACAUAUCACAUUUACCUGUCGACCCACAAUCGUCUCGGCAGUUCGCCUCCUAGCCCUACACUGUCCGUACGCACCCAAGGGCAGUACCCAAGUGUGCCUCCAGCCUCCACCUUCCUUACCCCCAACUCAUCCUCGGUCAUGCUGCGACUCCACGUCUGGCCCGACAAUGGCUGUCCACUCCUCUACUUUGUCGUCCGCUACAGACCGGUCAACAACCCCGAGUGGAUUCUAGUCUCAAACAACCUAAAGCCCCAAAGACGGUUUGUGAUGACCGGACUCCUUCCUUCUUCAGAGUACCAACUCCAAGUAGAAGCUCACAACAUCGCCGGCUCCUCUACUGGGGAGUACACCUUCUACACGCUCACCAAGGACGGAGAUCUUCCUCCCCCAGAACUAGUACGGCGAGGACAACUAGGCAAGCCUUUCUACACUGAUUUCCGCGUCUUGCUCCCUCUUCUAGUGGCCACUUUGGGUAUUCUCGGUGCAGCCUCGGCCUUCUUACUCUGUAGGAAAACGAGACGAGAACGGAGACCGGUCAAAGAAACACUGGAUAACCAACAGAACGCAGAAGCACAAAGAGAGCGAUACUAUGCUACCAUUCAUAAAGUUGCACUCCAGGCAAACUCCGAUAAGAUACCAGAAACUUCAGAAGACAUCUCUCCCUAUGCUACAUUCCAACUGGCAGAUCCAAACAACACUUUGCUGCAUAGUUUCAUGUACCAUGAGCAGGCCAUGACGGAAGGUUGCGCCUCACCCCCGCCCCCCGGGGUACGUUACCCUAACCCCCCUAGUUCGAAGUCACGUCGGGCGCGCCGACGCAGUAGUCGUAAGACGGAUGCUGAAACUGAUGAGUCAGACAGUGAAGGUGAUCAGCUGACAUCUAGUCGAACUGAAUCCUCCAAUCAACUUGACGCUAACAAGGCGCGACAGAGUCAGUGUACGACCAACAUUAUUCAGUUUUCAAUAGUUUAGAUUUUAUAUAUCACGGAGCUCAGUCCAGUACGUCCUCAGACAUAUCACCGAUGUCAGAACAAAAAUCCUUACCAAGGCGGGGUGGUCGCUCGAGAUGGUUGUCGCCUGGUAAAUCAGCGAUGCGCACUUCAUUGUCU